GUAAAGGACAGAGGUCACGACCUAGUAGCUAGCGAUGCUAAGACGUACACGGCGAGCUAGCUUGUGACCACAGGUGGAGACAGAGCGUCGCUAACAAAGUGCGUUUUGAACACACGUCUUGGGGAGAGACUUCCUGCGUCAGCGUCUCAACUCAAAUCCUGAACUAUGCUGCGACCCACUACGGGCGACAUGCAUGCUGCCAUUAAAGGGCUCGUAUGCGCCUUUAGUUCACAGGUCAUCUGCCUCCUCAUGUUGUGUUUAAGGGGCUCAGACACUAAAUCUAUUUAAAUCACUAAAUAGAGAAUAAAUCUUUGUUGGGGUUUUCGCACCAAGCUGAAAGUCGUGUAAGCAGAUUUAUUUCAGGAUUCUGAGGUGCAAGUUUUCUACUCCGACCUGUGACUUCCUGUCGCCGAGCCACAUAGAGAGCAAGGACACACACACACACACACACACACGCACACACACACAACGAUAUCGCACACACACACACACACACACACACACAACGAUAUCGCACACACACACACACACACACACACACACACGGUAAUGAUGUGUAAUUACACAAAGCCACCAUGCUGUUUAGCUGCUCGGCUGUUAUAUUGGCUUCCACAGAUAGCAUUCACACACACGCACACACAAACACACACAACUUGUGCACACUGCACUGCUGCAUUCAUAGGCAGACACACAAACACAUCAAUACACCCAGUGUGCAGGAAGGUGUGUGGUUUGUGGUGAUAAAGUGUAGCUGAACAAUGUUUCUGCCUUGAUACACACACACACACACACACACACACACACACAGACUCACACACAAUAAAGUGGCAUUGCCGAUCUGCUGAUUACAACCACAGAAAAGAACCAGGCGGAAAAUACGGGAAACGCCCCAAGAUAAGACCAGAGAAACGUGAAGAUGGCCGAGGGAAUAAAGACAGGAGGAGGUACACGGGGAGGAGGAGGAAGAGGAGGAGAAGGAGGAGGAGAAGGAGGAAGAGGAGGAGGGAGUAAGAGGAGGAACAGGAAGAUGAGGAGGAGGAGGAGGAGGAGCAAAGCAGCCGAGAACACGCAGAUCAUCACGCUGCUCAUAUGAAACGCAGCAUUGACACUAAAGUCUAUCUGUCAACUAGUGAACACACAGACACACAAAUUGGGUAAACAAAGAGUGUGUUCAGACUGUUAAAACGAAAAUCUAUACAUCUAAAACAUCAACGAUUAAAGGUGGAGAAAAAAAAUAUAUUUUUCAUCCAUUCAUGAAAUAUAAAAUGUUGUCAUCAAAGCAACUUUGACAAAAAACGUAAAAACAUCAUCUAAAAUGACGUCUCAUUUUAUGACGAAAGAGAAAGACGUUCAAAUCAGAGUAAAGCUUAUUAAAUAAAUCCUCAAUUGUAAAUCCUAUUUUAGACGUCGUCAUGGUGACGUGACAUGUGGCAACAAAGUUCCACAUCUUUACACCAUCUAAAGCCCUCACACACUCACCACAUCAUUUAUCACAUGACAUAUAUCAUAUCUCAUGUGUCAUUUAUCAUAUCAUCAUAUGACAUAUCUCAUAUCUCAUGUGUCAUUUAUCAUAUCAUAUGACAUAUAUCAUAUCUCAUGUGUCAUUUAUCAUAUCAUAUGACAUAUAUCAUAUCUCAGGUGUCAUUUAUCAUAUCAUAUCAUAUGACAUAUAUCAUAUCUCAUGUGUCAUUUAUCAUAUCAUAUCAUAUGACAUAUAUCAUAUCUCAUGUGUCAUUUAUCAUAUCAUAUGACAUAUAUCAUAUCUCAGGUGUCAUUUAUCAUAUCAUAUGACAUAUAUCAUAUCUCAUGUGUCAUUUAUCAUAUCAUAUCAUAUGACAUAUAUCAUAUCUUAUGUGUCAUUUAUCACAUCAUAUAUCAUAUCAUAUAUCACAUCAUGUAUCAUAUAUACGAGGGGUCGUCGUGGCGCAGGGGUUAGAGAAGGUGUGCUGGGAAGCACAAGAUUGGUGGUUUGAGUCCAGGCUGCCCCAUGUUCCAUGUCGAAGUGUCCCUGAGCAAGACACCUGACCCCUAAUUGCUCUCCAGGCAAAAAAUGUGAAUAAGCCAUGAGUUUAAAGUGUGAUGUAAGUCGCUUUGGAUAAAAGCGUCUGCUAAAUGACCUGUAAUGUAAUAUAACAUAUAUCAUCAUGCAUUACAUGAUGUAUCAUAUUACCACAUGUCGUAUAUUAUAUGACAUGUAUCAUAUCAUAUAACAUAUGAUACAUAUGUUAUAUGAUAUCAUAUAUAAUGUAACAUAUGAUAUCAUAUCAUGUUAUAGCGUAAAUGAUGAAGAAAUUUGUCUCUUUGACUCUUUGACCAUGGAGAGAAUGACCAGUUCAAACAUCAAGUUGUGAAGUACAGAGAUGACACAAAGGAGCCGCUGUCUCCUUGCUGUCAUCACCAUGGACCCCCCCCCCCACACACACACACACACACACACGCACACACACGCACACACACACACACACACACACAGCACCUACUCACAGGGGGGCGGUGGCCUGCAGUGGUUUUACACAAAAUGGAAAGACAAGAUGUCCUUGAAACCUUUAGAAGCUCAAGCAGCAUCGUAGUCAGAGAGUGUGUGUGUGUGUGUGUGUGUGUGUGUGUGUGUGUGUGUGCGAGAGACAAAGAGAGAAAAGGGGAUGGGACUAAAUGCACCAAACCACAUCCCGUGUUUGAAUUUUGCUCUUCAGCACUCACACACACACACACACACAGACUCACACACACACACACACACAGACUCACACACACACACAGACUCACACACACUCGCAGAUCAGCAUUAGUCCUCGUGAGGACCCCCGAUGCCGUCCCCCGUGGUCUCCAGACCCAAACCCGGUGUCCGUGUUUCCCUUAAAACGGGUCCUCACAAAGACAGCAGGUCAACAACAGGAAGUCAAACGGGUUUAGUUUCAGUCUGUGUGACGCACACAGACACACAACCUGCUGACUGUGCUUUGUGCGUUUGUGUCGUCACUGUGUCAACGGACGUCUUCGUUUGACGUCUUGUUGCUUCUUUAAAGAUUCUGCAACAUGUGGAGCCUCCAUUUUAUUGGUGAAAGCUUCUACAUUACAUAUAAUAUAUUAUGAAAGAUAGUGAUUUAUAUUCAUCAUACGGCUUCUUCUCCGCUUCUGCCUUCAGCAGGAGAACGAACGCGCCUUUGUCCUCGUGUUAGUUUCAUCUGCUUGUAGUUUGUGAGCUUUCUCUGCUGGUGAUGAGGAUGACGAGGAUGUUUAAAGUCUUGAGGUCUUUGUGCUAAUAGAUGAUGUCACGGCUCCGUAACGGAUCAGCUCCUUGGUAGAAAAUGAUUUCCCUUUUGCUGCUUUCAUUUUCACGUAAUCGUGAACAGAUUUCCAGUAAAUUGACAGCAUCGCAUCCCGGAGCGCUGAUGAAGCACGCGACACGCAAAGGACUCACAUAUCUGAUCUUAUAUUUAAUGUAAUAAUAACCUGUGGUGAAUAAUAAAUAAUAGCACUUUCCAAAACAAAUAAACUGUAUUCUGGGUUACAUUCAGAGGGAAACUCCCACAAACAAAUAGAAUUACAUUUAAAACGCAACAGAAGGGUAAAUUUGCUGAACUGCAUCUUCAUCCAACAUUAGAUGAUGAAUCAACGCUCUGUAGCUACACGCCACAAACGCACAAACAGACGCGUCCCCGAGUAACAAAGGAAUGAUUGCAGCGAGGGCCGGAGACAUGGAACCACGCGGUGGACCACGAGGAGACCAGGACCUGCUGUAGCUCACCCAGGAGACCUCGCGUGCACGCUGGUCCGUGUCUCAGUCCAGAACCCAACAUCUCUUCUCAUCAGCUUCAUUGUCUGAAGCCAACAGUCGUCUCAUGAAGACGCCAAAUGGCCGUAUUUAUUAAAGGUUCGAAUGGAAGAAAACACAAA
ensembl:lncRNA